AACGGUUAUACCAUGCUGAAUAUGCCGGUUCUCGUUAGAUCACCGAAGUCAAGCAUCAUUGGGCGCGGUCAGUACUUGGGUGGGUGACCACCUGGGAAUACCGCGUGCCGUU
rnacentral:rRNA from 1 species